AUUGAACGCUGGCGGCAGGCUUAAUACAUGCAAGUCGAGCGGGGUGAUGGUGCUUGCACUAUCACUUAGCGGCGGACGGGUGAGUAAUGCUUAGGAAUCUGCCUAUUAGUGGGGGACAACAUCUCGAAAGGGAUGCUAAUACCGCAUACGUCCUACGGGAGAAAGCAGGGGAUCACUUGUGACCUUGCGCUAAUAGAUGAGCCUAAGUCGGAUUAGCUAGUUGGUGGGGUAAAGGCCUACCAAGGCGACGAUCUGUAGCGGGUCUGAGAGGAUGAUCCGCCACACUGGGACGGCGACACGGCCCAGACUCCUACGGGAGGCAGCAGUGGGGGAUAUUGGACAAUGGGGGGAACCCUGAUCCAGCCAUGCCGCGUGUGUGAAGAAGGCCUUAUGGUUGUAAAGCACUUUAAGCGAGGAGGAGGCUCUUUUGGUUAAUACCCAAGAUGAGUGGACGUUACUCGCAGAAUAAGCACCGGCUAACUCUGUGCCAGCAGCCGCCGUAA
rnacentral:rRNA from 1 species